rnacentral:rRNA from 1 species
GGAAUCUUGGACAAUGGGGGCAACCCUGAUCCAGCCAUGCCGCGUGGACGAUGAAGGCCCUAGGGUUGUAAAGUCCUUUCACCCGUGAAGAUAAUGACGGUAGCGGGAGAAGAAGCCCCGGCUAACUCCGUGCCAGCAGCCGCGGUAAUACGGAGGGGGCUAGCGUUGUUCGGAAUUACUGGGCGUAAAGCGCGCGUAGGCGGAUGGUCAAGUCGGGGGUGAAAUCCCGGGGCUCAACCCCGGAACUGCCUCCGAUACUGGACGUCUGGAGGACGGAAGAGGCGAGUGGUAUGCCGAGUGUAGAGGUGAAAUUCGUAGAUAUUCGGCGGAACACCAGUGGCGAAGGCGACUUACUGGUCCGAUACUGACGCUGAGGUACGAAAGCGUGGGGAGCAAAC